CUACAUACUGUGAAGCUGGUUUAGCUCCCAAAGCAAGAGGCCCAUACAACUCAUUGGAAAUGUUCCCUGCCCAUGCCUAGCAGCUACCUAGGAGAGUCCAGAUCAGGGGCUGGUCUGGCAGGGAGACACUCUUCCCACAUAAUUUUAGUUGUCCAAAAACUGUAUGAAGUUUAAGCCUUCUAGUCUAUGGACUAUGAGAGAAAUAUCCAGAGAGCAGUUCACUGGUGCAAUAUGUGAAAUGAAAUGAAGAACCGGUCAGAUACACAUAUGCAUCAUGCAGCCACAGCCUCAAAAAUGUCAGAAGUUCAGAACAAGCAGAAAAGAUCACAUCCAGCUCCACUCCAAGAGCAACAAGUAUGCCCUGUUUGACCAGACAAUUAUAGGACUCCAACUGGAGGCUUUAGUCAACAGAGGUUGGACACAUAUACAUCUUUCCCUGUAGGUGCCUAAACUGCCAGAAGAAGGAGAAGGGUAGGCUGAGGGAGGAGACAUCAAGAACAAGUUAAAAUGAACUCUAGCAUGGGCUAUGUGAUAGAUGUAAUACAUGCUGAUCUUUAGCCAUCACUCUA